rnacentral:lncRNA from 1 species
UAUCCUCCACUUACCCAUUUUUCUUCUUCUUACCACCUUUCUCUCUCUACACCACAUACCCUUCAUGCACUAUUUUCUCUCUCUACACCACCACUACCACCAAACCCUCAUUUUCUCACUAACUCACUCACUUUCUACUCCCUACCCGGUUAUCUCUCUACACCACAUACCCAUUUUCCAAAUACCCAUCAACCCACCUUUGCAUGGCCACCU